rnacentral:rRNA from 1 species
UCCUACGGGUGGCUGCAGUGGGGAAUAUUGGACAAUGGGCGCAAGCCUGAUCCAGCCAUGCCGCGUGGAUGAUGAAGGCCCUAGGGUUGUAAAGUCCUUUCGACGGGGAAGAUAAUGACGGUACCCGUAGAAGAAGCCCCGGCUAACUUCGUGCCAGCAGCCGCGGUAAUACGAAGGGGGCUAGCGUUGCUCGGAAUCACUGGGCGUAAAGCGCACGUAGGCGGCUUUUUAAGUCAGGGGUGAAAUCCCGGAGCUCAACUCCGGAACUGCCUUUGAUACUGAGAAGCUUGAGUGCGGGAGAGGUGAGUGGAACUGCGAGUGUAGAGGUGAAAUUCGUAGAUAUUCGCAAGAACACCAGUGGCGAAGGCGGCUCACUGGCCCGAUACUGACGCUGAGGUGCGAAAGCGUGGGGAGCAAACAGGAUUAGAUACCCUUGUAGUCCU